UUUCACAAAUAACUAACUUCUCCAGCAAACAUAUGAACAACUUUAUCUAAAUAAAGAUUCCUAUGCUAAAACUAUUAAUAUGAGCACGACUCUACCUGCGCACUCAUCACUCAGACAAUACUGAUAAUUAACAGACCAAAAAGGGAUAAGUACAACUCAAUUAACAAAUCCUUUAAAUACUGUGAACCCAACUCAGGUGCGCACUAUGGUAAAAUUAAAAGUUACAAAAGGAACUCGGCAAACACAGAUUCCAACUGUUUACCAAAAACAUAGCCUUUAGCUAAACAAAUAUUGAAGGUAAUGCCUGCCCAGUGAAAUCACUUUCAACGGCCGCGGUACCCUAACCGUGCAAAGGUAGCGUAAUCA
rnacentral:rRNA from 1 species